AGAUCUAAGCUUCCACAUGAACUUCCAAGGGAAUCACAAUGGGGCAAAAAGUAAGUGAAUGAUAAUAGAACAUUCCAUUGUUAAAGAGCCACAAGCAUCUAGUUUCGUCACCAGUUUAUCAUUCCCCUCAAUGAGGAAAUGGAGGCGGGAAGAGUGUUGAAGAACCUUCACAUAUUCAUCAAACCCAUUGUCAUUCAGGUUUCUAGUAAAAUCCACAAUCCACCACCUAUAGCUAGAAGAUAAGGAGAAAAAUUCACUCACCAAUCAUCUUUCCUUCUAGCAAUAAAGGACAAAUGGGAAAACUGCUAAUCUAAGGGCCCUCCUUAACUCCAAUCAUCAUGCCUAGAGCUCACACUAUGCCCAGAACCAACUAUCAUCUCAAUGAACUCAUUUAAGUCAACCAACCAGAGUUGAUUUUUUCCAAAGACCCAAGCAAUGAGGGGCUUUAGAGUGUUUGACCCUUCAACUCCUGUCAACACACCAAAACACUUGGCCCUAAUCACCUUCGACCAAAGACUAUCCUCAGCAUUCACGAGUCUAUAAACCCAAUGCCAAAGCAAAAUUUUACUGAAACAAGUGAGGGUUCUAAUGCCAAGCCCCCACCCUCUUACUCCUCAAGAAGGAUAAGGAGUUUAACUCCAUCCAACCCAGUAAGUGGAACUUCCUCUAUGCCUCCAAUAACCCACAAAAAACAGCAUUUGAGUGUUUCCAAUCUUUUCACCACACUAAGAUUUAAAACAAACACAAGUAAUAUGUUGGCAAUUGGAAAGGGUAAUUUUUAUGAGGUUGAGUCUACCUCUUCAGGACAAGAAACCAUGUUACCAACAAGCAAGCCUUCUCUCAAUAUGUAGACACCACAAGCUCCCCAUCCUACCAUAUCUUUGAAUCUGGCUCCUAGUGGUAACUUUAGGUACUUCCAAAGUGAAGUAGACACCUUGCACCCCCAAAAUGCCAACUAGAGAAUCCAUACUCAAAUCUUUCCUGAGAGGGGACCAACUUCGAUUUUGACAUGUCAAUCUUAAGAAAAAAGAUGGCUUAGAAAGAUAAAAGAAAGGAGAGCAUCACAAUGGAGCUUGCAAAAUAGUAGCAUCAUUGGUAGAAAGAAGGUGGGUCAUUUCCACCACCUCGCCUCCUUCUGCCACAACCAACUCUCAAUAAUUUGUUGCUCCUUAGCUUUGACAAGCCUUUUGUUCAGGUUCUCCUUUUUUUGAUAAAAGAAGAAAUUCGACUAAAAAAGAGGGGAGAAUUUUAAAAUUGGAGAAUGAGAUAUUCUCCUUAUAAGUAAAACAACAAAAAAAGGCACAAAUUGUUGGCACAAACGGUAGCAUAAUGGCCAUAAGCUUUUGCCCGUAGGUUGCAAGUUCAGAAACUCCAUUACAAUGAUAAAUUGCAGGGGGAUAGAGGAUCAAAUACAAGCAUUUAUCAUGAACACCAUUUAGUGCCAAAACCAAGCCUCCUCAACAUACAAAAAUGAAAAUUUCAAAACAUGUG
rnacentral:lncRNA from 1 species